rnacentral:rRNA from 1 species
GACAGAGGGGGCAAGCGUUGCUCGGAAUUACUGGGCGUAAAGGGCGCGUAGGCGGGAUGGCAAGUCGGUCGUGAAAUCCCUCGGCUCAACCGAGGAACGUCGAUCGAUACUGCUGUUCUUGAGGAUUGCAGAGGAGACUGGAAUUCCCGGUGUAGCGGUGAAAUGUGUAGAGAUGUGGAGGAACACCGAUGGCGAAGGCAGCCUCCUGGGCCAGCACUGACGCUCAUGCACGAAAGCGUGGGGAGCAAACAGG